GGGAACGUGCCCUUCACUACGGAACAACGUCGGGAAACUGACGCUAAUACCGUAUAAUGUCUCCGGACCAAAGAUUUAUCGGUGAAGGAUCGGCCCGCGUCUGAUUAGCUAGUUGGUGAGGUAAUGGCUCACCAAGGCGACGAUCAGUAGCUGGUUUGAGAGAAUGAUCAGCCACACUGGGACUGAGACACGGCCCAGACUCCUACGGGAGGCAGCAGUGAGGAAUCUUGGACAAUGGGCGCAAGCCUGAUCCAGCCAUGCCGCGUGAGUGAUGAAGGCCUUAGGGUUGUAAAGCUCUUUUGCCGGGGAUGAUAAUGACCGUACCCGGAGAAUAAGCCACGGCUAAAUUCGUGCCAGCAGCCGCGGUAAUACGAAUGUGGCGAGCGUUGUUCGGAAUCACUGGGCGUAAAGAGUACGUAGGCGGCUUGACAAGUCAGGAGUGAAAUCCCCAGGCUCAACCUGGGAAUUGCUUUUGAAACUGUCUCGCUAGAAUGUCGGAGAGGUUGGCGGAAUUCCAAGU
rnacentral:rRNA from 1 species